AGACGAAUGAAGAAACGGGGCUGAAAAGGGUCAUCGGAUUAGACUAGUUGUAUUGAAGACGCGCAAUGGUUGUUGUGGUUGGGAAGUCCACUCUGACUCCGGCGCCCUUUUUGGCCUUCCCAUGGAAAAGUUGUUCCGUUGUUGACGAGUUGCGUCGUAGGAAGCCAUGGUGCUGUAGCAGCACCAUCAGCCUCGCCGUCACUUUCUCUCUCUCAAAGUACUACCUGCUGUCUGCUCCUUCUCCAGGAUUAACUAGAGCAAUCCUCCAAGAAGACCAAGACCAAGACUACCACCUCCUCUCUCUACAAGCUAAAGAAUUGUCUUCUUCUUCUAAUUCUCAACUCUAUGUUUGCAAUCUGCCCAGAAACUAUGGCAUUUCUGAGCUUGUUGAAAUCUUUACACCUUAUGGUACUGUUCAGUCUGUUGAGGUUUCUAGGGAUGCUGAAACGGGUAUUAGUCGGGGAUGCGGUUAUGUCACCAUGAGCUCGAUCGCCGAGGCCAAUGCUGCAAUUGCUGCUCUUGAUGCCUCAGAUGUUGGCGGGCGUGAAAUGCGGGUGAGGUUUUCCACUCAAAUGACCAGGGGCAGUUCCCGUCAUAAUCUCGGGCCUGUCAAUUUGUCCACCCGACGGGAUUUCAUGUUUGAAAGCCCUUACAAGAUUUAUGUUGGCAAUCUAGCCUGGUCUGUUACACCUGCAGAUUUGAGAAACUUGUUUUCCCAGUUUGGGACUGUGGUUAGUGCUAGACUGCUCCACGAUCGUAAAACUGGAAAGACGCGUGUUUUUGGGUUUCUCUCCUUUUCCUCUGCUUCAGAGCGGGAGGCUGCUUUGUCCUUGGAUGGCAUAGAUUUCUGUAGUAGGAAACUACUGGUCAGAGAUGUUUUUUCAAAGAUUUCCUGAGUUUGCUCACCGCCACAUUUUUUUUCUGUUUCAAAUUCUCAAAGAUUUCUCAUCAGAGUUGCGAAUUUAGAAAUUGAUGAUAAUUUCCUUUAACAGACGGAGAUGGAAUUAAACAGGAGAUAGACCUGAUAUGUUGAGCUCUUCCAUAGUUGUUCUUUUACUGCUGUGGCUGCACCGCUGCAUGGUGUUAACCUAUCCAUAAUGCUUUUGCUUUCAUUAUACACAUUUUCAUAUUUAUGUUAAAAUCAUUUCCUUGCUGGUUCCCUGCUUCUAUAAUCCCUAUCAACAAAAGAUUUGUUAGAGUACCUGCAGAUUACGUUUUUGUUUUCUGUCUUGCCAGAGAAGUAUAAGUACUGAACUGUAUCUAAAUGGUCAAUGUCCUUCGUGUAACAGUGCUUCAUCUUCUCAUGCUUGUUCAGUUUCACUGAGUCAAUACCUAUAUUUUCUAGAUUCAUGAUCACGA